UUUUUCUAACAACGUUUGAACAGUCAGUAACUAUAAUAAAUAACUUUAAAACAAACAUGCAGUAACGAAUCACUAAGACAUAUUUUUUCUACAUAAUAAAAAGUAAGGAUAUUUCUACAUUAUAACAUAUUUGCCUAUUUCAUUUUCAGAUCACCUACGUAUUAUUUCAUUGUCAAAUUCUUUUUUUCCUGGCUAUAAUUCAAUGUAUACAUCCAAUUCAAAUGAAUCAAAAUUUAUGUUUUAAAGAGAGUUAUUGCACUUCAUUCUAAUGUGACUUCUAUUGCACUAAAUUUUCUUAUUACUUCUAUUGCACUAAUCUUCAGAAUGUUAUUUUAUAUCAAAUUUCUGAAAUACAGUGUAUUAUAAAUUGUUGAGCUAUAAGGAGUAAAAUAUUAUUGAAAUAACGUCUAUAACUACAUUUGAAGCUGGGAUCUAUAUAGUGUUUAAAGUUUAAAGUUUACAGUUACAAGUUUUCUUUUUCUAAAUAUUUAUACCAUACACUCAAGAACUGACGUCAAAAGUUACUUUUUUUUAUCAUCUGUGAAAGUUCAAUAUUAAGUUCGUGAUAUGUAAAUAUCUUCAGAAAGAAUCACGAAAAUGUGGUAGCAAGUUGAUUGAAAAUGAAAACUGGUUGAAUGCAUGAAAAAGAUUAAAAACGCUUUGUUCUACACAUAUAUGUGUCAACAGUACUAUGUAUCAAGAAUUAUACAUAUUAAUUAGUAGGUAUACUGACUAAGCUACGUAUGACACUUUUCGUAUUUAAUUUCAUUCUAAUUUCAGUGAAAUAAAACAGUAGGUGGUCUUACGGAUUUUUUUGUGGUAUUAAAUUUGCUGUUACAAAAUGUUAAAAAAAUAUUAUAAAUUAAGGAAUGUAUCUCCCUCAUGCAAAGCUCUGAUUCCUUUCACGGAUUUGGCUAUACUUUUUUGGAACUUUUGGAUUAUAGCUCUACAUCUUUUAUAUAAGCUUUGGAUUUCACAUAUUUUGGUCACGAGCAUCACUGAAGAGACAUUAUUUGUCGAAAUGCGCAUCUGGUGCAGAAAAAUUGGUACCGUUAAUGUUAUUACUACCACUGGGUCGAUGCCUCUGCUGGUGGACUGUUAGUCCCCGAGGGUAUCACCAUCCCAGAAGCCAGUACUCCGGUACUGGCAUGAAAAUACGGAUUUUUUUGUGGUAUUAAAUUUGCUGUUACAAAAUGUUAAAAAAUAUUAUAAAUUAAGGAAUGUAUCUCCCUCAUGCAAAGCUCUGAUUCCUUUCAUGGAUUUGGCUAUACUUUUUUGGAACUUUUGGAUUAUAGCUCUACAUCUUUUAUAUAAGCUUUGGAUUUUACAUAUUUUGGCCACGAGCAUCACUGAAGAGACAUUAUUUGUCGAAAUGCGCAUCUGGUGCAGAAAAAUUGGUACCGUUAAUGUUAUAUACAAAUUUUGGAAGUAAAAACCCAAUGUUUUAUUUAAGAAUAGAAUUAUUUACAACCGUUUUAAACAGCAAAGUGAAAAUCUGUUCUAGGGUAGAACUGUCCAUAACCAGUACUAUUUGAAAACGGUGCUAAGCUAGAACAUCUUGUCAUACAUAUUGUUCCAAAUGUGUUAGGGGGAACGUUCUAUGAAUGUGGACGGUUUUACUGACCCUUUCUUGUUAUUUUAAGAUAUUUUAGAAGUGAUCCCAAGUGUAAACGGCCAAAGGAGAUAAAAAUAUAAUAACACAAUUUAUAUAAGUAAAUAAGUUCAACAUUUUAGCUUACAGAUUAUUUUCAUAAUGAACUAUAAACGUGUGCAGCAUGCUGUUUAGAACAAUAACAUAUAUUUUGCAUAAAAUAUAUUUUGACGCUGUUUAUAGCGCAAGCCUAAAAAAUGCACUGUCUGUGGAUCGAAAAAAGUAUUUCCAAACAUCCUUAUAAUACGGAGACAGGAUAAAAAUAUCAAUCUCAUAGUGAUCCAUAAAGAUCAUCUUAAAAUCACCAUCUCACUUAAUUAUUCAUACAAGAAAUUUCUUAAACACUCUUUUCAUUAUCAAUACGAACUAGGGAAAUUUAAGAAUCUUAUCUUUAACUAAAACUUCCCUGUACUUGCCUUGAAUUGCAACAUGCAUUUUACAUUAGCAGUGUGAAAGGCGAAGGCGACCUUUACAAAUGCAAUUUAAUGUGCUGAGACGUCAAUACCAGUGGUCAUUGUGACUGUCCUUAUCGUUCAGACUGUUAAGUUCAGAUAUUGAAAUUGAGAUACAAAGUUAUUUUUUAAGAUUUAUACAUAGCAAAGUUUUGAACUUUAAUUUAAGAAUAAAAACCACAAAAAUGUGAAAUACAAAGACUCAGUUUACUAUAGUAUUGAAAAGUCUUAAUGACAUCCCCAUCUUGUCCAAAAAAAAAAAUAAACACAACCACAAUUAUUGACUUUGGUCAUUAAUAGAAGCACCAGGAAAGGGCUUAUUUCAUUGUAACUUUAUUUAGGUAUCUUGCCGAAAGCACUUCAUAAAAUGUAGUUUUUGUACUGAAAUUGUUCACCUGUUAAAUAAUAAUAAAUGGGAGAUAAUUCAUUUUUUACUGUGUACUUUUUUCAUCCGUCCGAUUUGUAUAUCUAGUAAAGAUUUGUAUCAGUUAUGUCGCUUUUCCUGGCAUAUCAAUAAAGUCAUGAAAUGGCAAUGGAAUGAAACAGCGACAUAGA
rnacentral:lncRNA from 1 species